CCCCUAGAUGUCCUGGGCCGCACGCGCAAUACAAUGUAAAGUUCAGAAAGCAUAUCCUGUUCCGGAAGGCAAUGGGUAAUCUUUUCAAUAUUUUACGUGUUAGGGAUCGAUCUUUGCAAUUAUAGAUCUUGAACGAGGAAUACCUAGUAAGUGCAGCUCAUCAGGCUGUACUGAUUACGUCCCUGCCCUUUGUACACACCGUCCGUCGCUCCUACCGAUUUCGAGUGGUCCGGUGAAUCUUUUGGAAUUAGAGUGCAAACUCAAACUAAGAUCGAUAAACCUUAUCACUUAGAGGAAGGAGAAGUCGUAACA
rnacentral:rRNA from 1 species